rfam:Triticum urartu cultivar G1812 contig38089, whole genome shotgun sequence.
UUUAUACUUCCUCCAUCCGGAAAUACUUUCAUAAAAAUGGAUAUAAAUGGAUGUAUCUAGAACUAAAAUAUAUCUAGAUACAUCCAUUUCUCGGACAAGUAUUUCCGGAUGGAGGGACUAGUAG